rnacentral:tRNA from 1 species
CGGGCAGUAGCUCAGUCGUAGAGCUCCCGCUUCAUAUACGGAAAGACCUGGGUUCGAUUCACGGCUGCUUAC